UCCGAGUUGACCCCGGCAGUCUCCUAUGAGUCCCCACCAUUACGUGCUGGCAACAUAGGACGAGGGUUGCGCUCGUUGCGGGACUUAACCCAACAUCUCACGACACGAGCUGACGACAACCAUGCACCACCUGUGCACGGCCCUUACGGAUCCCGCAUCUCUGCGAGAUUUCCGUGCAUGUCAAGCCUAGGUAAGGUUCUUCGCGUUGCAUCGAAUUAAGCAACAUGCUCCGCCGCUUGUGCGGGCCCCCGUCAAUUUCUUUGAGUUUUAACCUUGCGGCCGUACUCCCCAGGCGGAUAACUUAAAGCGUUAGCGGCGCCACCGAAGAGCAAGCUCCCCGACGGCUAGCAUCCAUCGUUUACGGCAUGGACUAC
rnacentral:misc_RNA from 1 species